rnacentral:rRNA from 1 species
GAUGAACGCUGGCGGCGUGCCUAAUACAUGCAAGUCGAGCGAACAGACGAGGAGCUUGCUCCUCUGACGUUAGCGGCGGACGGGUGAGUAACACGUGGAUAACCUACCUAUAAGACUGGGAUAACUUCGUGAAACCGUAUCUAAUACCGGAUAAUAUAUUGAACCGCAUGGUUCAAUAGUUAAAGUCGGUUUUUCUGUCACUUAUAGAUGGAUCCGCGCCGCAUUAGCUAGUUGGUAAGGUAACGGCUUACCAAGGCAACGAUGCGUAGCCGACCUGAGAGGGGGAGCGGCAAAACGGGAAGUGAGAAAAGGAACAGACUACUACGGGAGGAAGCAGAAGGGAAUAUGCCGCAAAGGGCGAAAGCAUGACGGAGCAACGCCGCGUGAGUGAUGAAGGUGUUCGGAUCGUAAAACUCUGUUAUUAGGGAAGAAAAAAUGUGUAAGUAAAUAUGCACGUCUUGACGGUAACUAAACAGAAAGCAACGGCUAACUACGUG